CGGGUGCACUGAUCCGGCCGGGCCUUUCCCUCUGUGGAACCCCAUGGCCUUCACUGGCUGUGCGGGGGAAACAGGACUUUUACUGUGAAAAAAUUAGAGUGCUCCAGGCAGGCCUAUGCUCGAAUACAUUAGCAUGGAAUAAUAGAAUAGGACGCAUGGUUCUAUUUUGUUGGUUUCUAGGACCGCCGUAAUGAUUAAUAGGGACAGUCGGGGGCAUCAGUAUUCAAUUGUCAGAGGUGAAAUUCUUGGAUCUAUUGAAGACUAACUACUGCGAAAGCAUUUGCCAAGGAUGUUUUCAUUGAUAAGGAACGAAAGUUAGGGGAUCGAAGACGAUCAGAUACCGUCGUAGUCUUAACUAUAAACUAUGCCGACUAGGGAUCGGACGAUGUUAUUUCUUGACGCGUUCGGCACCUUUCGAGAAAUCAAAGUGCUUGGGCUCCAGGGGGAGUAUGGUCGCAAGGCUGAAACUUAAAGAAAUUGACGGAAGGGCACCACCAGGGGUGGAACCUGCGGCUUAAUUUGACUCAACACGGGGAAACUCACCAGGUCCAGACACAGUGAGGAUUGACAGAUUGAGAGCUCUUUCUUGAUUCUGUGGGUGGUGGUGCAUGGCCGUUCUUAGUUGGUGGAGUGAUUUGUCUGCUUAAUUGCGAUAACGAACGAGACCUUAACCUGCUAAAUAGCCCGUACUGCUCUGGCAGUUCGCCGGCUUCUUAGAGGGACUAUCGG
rnacentral:rRNA from 1 species